CAUUGGNUCAACCAAUGUAUGCUUUGGAAACUGUUAGACUUGAGUGCAGAAGGGGAGAGUGGAAUUCCAUGUGUAGCGGUGAAAUGCGUAGAUAUAUGGAGGAACACCGGUGGCGAAAGCGGCUCUCUGGUCUGUCACUGACGCUGAGGCUCGAAAGCGUGGGUAGCGAACAGGAUUAGAUACCCUGGUAGUNCACGCCGUAAACGCUGAGUGCUAGGUGUUAGGUCCUUUCCGGGACUUAGUGCCGACGCUAACGCAUUAAGCACUCCGCCUGGGGAGUACGACCGCAAGGUUGAAACUCAAAGGAAUUGACGGGGGCCCGCACAAGCGGUGGAGCAUGUGGUUUAAUUCGAAGCAACGCGAAGAACCUUACCAGGUCUUGACAUCCCGAUGCCCGCUCUAGAGAUAGAGUUUUACUUUUUGUACAUCGGAGACAGGUGGUGCAUGGUUGUCGUCAGCUCGUGUCGUGAGAUGUUGGGUUNNNNNNNNNNACGAGCGCAACCCUUAUUGUUAGUUGCCAUCAUUAAGUUGGGCACUCUAGCGAGACUGCCGGUAAUAAACCGGAGGAAGGUGGGGAUGACGUCAAAUCAUCAUGCCCCUUAUGACCUGGGCUACACACGUGCUACAAUGGUUGGUACAACGAGUCGCAAGCCGGUGACGGCAAGCUAAUCUCUGAAAGCCAAUCUCAGUUCGGAUUGUAGGCUGCAACUCGCCUACAUGAAGUCGGAAUCGCUAGUAAUCGCGGAUCAGCACGCCGCGGUGAAUACGUUCCCGGGCCU
rnacentral:rRNA from 1 species